AGCUACAUCCGUCACCUGACACGGCCCUACCAGGAACAGCCGCGCUCCCGCGGAUUCUGGUGCUGCUCGCGUCCCCGCUCCCCUAUUCCCCUUAUUUUAUUCCUGGCUCCCCUCGUCGAAAGUCUUCCAUUCUUCAAACUAGAUUAUUUAAAAAUGAAAAAGGAAGAAAGGAAAGCGAGGUCAUCUCAUUGCUCUAUCCGCCAAUCAGGAGGCUGAAUGUCAGUUUUGAACUAAAAGCCGCUCCGCUCCUCUUCUAGAUUUGGAAAACAAGCGAAAUUAAACUAAACCGCUGCACGCCUCUGACGCGACAUCUGGACACGGCGCGGCGCUGGCGCUGCCGGAGCUGUCGACCCGGCCUGGCGCCGGACUAGUGUCCCUUUUGAUGAGAAGAAUAAGCCUCAUUCUGAUUCAACAGCAGAGAUCAAAGAAAAGACUUCUGUUUUCUGGCCACCAGAUAUAUGUUAUCUGUGCUUAAAGAAUUGAAAAACACACAUCAAAGGAGAAUUUUCUUGGAAAGAGAGUAGAGACGGGGUUUCACCAUGUUGGCCAGACUGGUCUUGAACUCUCGACCUCGUGAUUCGCCCGCCUCGGCCUCCCAAAGUGCUGGGAUUACAGGUGUGAGACACCACACCCGGCGGAUAGAGAGAAUUUUGACAGGUGAGGAGGUAUUCCAAUGCAAAAGAAUAAUAGGAGCAAAAGCACAGUGGUGAGAAAUUGGAGGGGAACUGUGAAAAUUGCCACAUAGAUUAGAGGCAGGAAAAUAAAGGACGGCUAAGUUUAUAUAGUGAACAGUGAGCCGCAUGGACACAGGUGACUGUUUUCUCCUUUUUGAACCCCUGCUUACUCCAGAGUCACCACCUCUCCUGGCUUUCUGCCAAUCUUCUUGGCCACAGUUUCUCGGUCUUCUUUUCUGGCUUCUCUUCCUUGGCCUGAAUGCUACAUGUUAAGUGAUGUCAGCUUCAGUUUUCUUAACCUCUCUUCUCUUAAGUUGCUAUCAUUUAAAUAUCUUUAAAUAUCAUCUACAUCCAAGUGACCUCUAAACCAGUAAUUUUACCCAUGACCCAUCUCCUCAACUCCGGAUUGUAUAUAAAACUGUCUACUCAACAUCUUCACUUUUGAUGUCUAAAUCUCUAUGUCCAAUUUAGAAUUCUUGAUUCUUUGCUUUCCCUCCCUCCUGGAAAUCCUGCUCUUACCAGUCUUCCCCAUCUUAAUUAAUGAACCUGACAUUCACCUAGUAGCUUAGUCCUCAAAACUAGGGAUUAAUCUAGAUUUAGUCAUUUUUCUUACUCUUGCCAUAUAAUAACAUAUUAUUCUGAGUUUACCUUUACCCGACCCCAAAUAGGUAACUGCUGUUUUUGUUAUAAGAUAGUAAUAUUUGCCUCUGAGUGUAUGUGAAUUAUUUUGAUAAAAAUAAAUAUUAUUUUUAAAAUAUUAA
rnacentral:lncRNA from 1 species